UAUACCCUCUCUUUAUAUAAACUACAAUCCCUAGCUUUGGUCUUGAGUCUUUCACUUAGAUUUCGAUCCGCAUCAAAUCUAUUGCUUCUGCUUUUGUUUGAUCCAUUAGAAUUUCAUUCAGGUGGAUCUUGCUUCUGUAGUUCCGUAGUAAUGAUUCAUAGAAUAGCUUUUGUCUGCUUUACCCAUUUCUUUUAAACUUUUUUCUACUUUUACUUGGUGGAUUAAUUUGUCUUCUUUUUAGGGUUAGGGUUUCUGCUUUUCAUGUGAAGUAAUUUGCAUGGGGGCGAUGAUCUGCUCCCCUCGGUCACAGUGAUAGUCAGUUCUCGGUGGUGCGGCAUCAUCAAGAUUCACAUACUUUUAACCGGAAGUUCAUGCCUACGAAGUACUGGGAAUCUUGAUGAUGCUGCAUCAGCUAGUACAUGACUCUAUAAGAUUGAAUAAUUCCCAAUCUUUCUCCAAUUUGAAACAGGACCAGAUCAGAUUGAGAAGAACAUAUAUGAUUUUUAUGUAGCUUGGAGUUGGAGCUCAGAUGUUUGUUUGACUCCUUGCUUCAAAGCCCUCUAUUGGUGUCUAAUUUAUGGUUUAUCCAAAAAUGUCAGGAAUCUGAUGUUUUGUGUUUCAGAGAUUUGGGGUUUCCGGUACAAAAUAUUGUUCUAUGCAAAUUGCAGGACACUUUUACACACGAACAUCUUUAUUAUCUAUAUGUUUAUCUUUGUGAUGGAUUAUAAAGCUUCUAUCAUAAACUAGUUACUGUGGAAGUUAGAGUGGUUUAAGUUGCAUAGAUAACGAGAGAGAGUUGAGAAUAAUACAAUAUAUAACAUUUUAACAUCUAGUACAAGAAAAUAGGCUCCGAAUUUGGUGAUGAUUUCUGAAUAGCAAUAAUAAUUUGGUAAAACCAAUCUUUUUGUUAAUGCAUGAAGGACAUUGAAUAUAUUCUCUGGUUUGAUGCCUGCGGCAUGUGUUUUCUAAGCUAGGCAACAGGUAUUGCAUCUAUUUUCUCCGGUUGACAGCGUGCAGCUUAAGGAUCAAACAAAGUUUCGGAUUCUCUUAAGAGGGCAUUUGCUUGCCGCAGACUUCAUUCUUCAUUGCAACUUCUAUUCAGAGUAGGUAGCUAGCUUCUUCAGCACUAGAGGUCAGUGCUACCCACUUUGAUAACUUUGAUGUUACGUUAGAGUUUAUGCAGAGCAUAUUGCGUUAUUGAACUUACUCUAUAGCUAAGUUCUUUGACACCGCUUUAAGAACUUACAAGUCAUGCAUGGGAAUAACUUAAUGCCUUAUUAGUCCUGACUUGCUUUGUAUUCCUUGGCCUGUGUUCCACAAAGAGAAUAACUGACAGUGCUAACAGGGACAACAUUAUAUAUAGAUAUUUAUACUUUCCUGGUGAUGUUUGAAUAUAGGCUAUAGCAUAUACCGAUGGAUUUAACGUGUCAGUCAUCUUUCUUCUCAAAUCCAACUAGUGUUAAUAGGCUAUAGCACAUCCAUGAUUGGUCUAUUUCCUUAUAGCUUGAAUUAUUCAUUGCCUAAUUAACAUGAUAUCUGAGCUUGAUUCACACAAUUUCUUAGGUACAAAACCUCCAAUCUCUGUUUGUUUUGGAGGCCGCUUUCUAAGGCUACACCCUUUGAUCUUUUGUUGUAUUUCUCUUUGCCUCUGCACGUGAGGGAGAGAGUAAGCAACAUCGAUCUAUUGGUUGUCUUCCAAUCGUUACCGGCCCGCGCUAUUGCAUUUCAAGCUCUUUUCUGGUUAGGUCUCACUUAUGUAGCCAGAUAGUCUAUUUGUUUCUGAGUUCCUUGUUACUUCUGCAGUUACUUGAAUAUUACCUUUACCUUCAAAACGGAGUGAAAUGGUAGUUGUGGUGGAGGAAAGUGGAUGAUGGAUUAUUGUUCCAAUAUUUCUACCCCAUUGCCAACAAGAAGGACAACAUCCAUGAGGGAUUGGGUCCCUUUGUGUGGGGGAGGGUCCUUCCUCAUUUGAUCAGUUUCUGCCUACAGAGAACUAGUCAAAUACCCAGAGCCAGCAAGCACAUCUUUAGUGGGUUUUUUAUUGGGUCCAUUUGCAGAUCUGGGAGUGACAUCAAAGUAAUAAUGGACCCAAGCAACUGGUGCUAUUAUCAGUUUUGAUAUCUAACCUCUGCUGCAGUAAUCUGAGAGUAUGAUCGUGGCCACAAGAAUACCCACAUUACAUGUGUUUGGGGAAAUGUGAUGAGGAGCCAAUGAGAGUUGGUUCAGUUGGCAAGGGCGAAUUUGAGGUGUAAACUCGCACAAGUUUGAUCUCUGCUACCAACAAUCUCUCAUUUGGUGGGCAAUCUAGAAAAUGUUUUGCAUAAUUCCAUACCAAUGGGCUAGGCUGGGACACUGGUCAGUUUCGUAAGUCCUGUUGGGUUGAGGUCGUAGGUUUGCCCUGACCCUGGUAGUGUAGGGAAGCCUCCCUCUUACCUAAACUUUUUGUAACCAAAAAAAAAAAAAAUGUGAUGAGGAGCGGAUAUCAAUCGCCAAUGAUUAUAUGGAGUUAAGAGAUUCCUUUAAUGGAUGAUGAUAUUCUAGAAAGAGCUCAAGGAGGUAACUGAAGGCAAGAGAGGUAAAAUGGGACGGCAUGAGGAGGUUACAGAUCAGUGACCUAACUGGUCGCCCACCCCUAACGAAAUUGGUUUUUGAGGUUCCACAGCAAGCGCCGGGACUGAUACAGAUCGCUUCCUCGGCUUGAUCGUAAUACUUUUCUGCAUCAGAUUAUUGCUUGUUUCAUUUUCGUUCUCGACAUAAGGUUUCAUUAAACUUUUAAGCUCGUGUUUUCACAUUUCAACUAUUUUUAAGUAGGUAGUCAUCCAGGUUUUUUUUUUUUUUUUUUUCCCUCUAGGGUUUAAACUUAGCAAUAUAAACUUCUGUUAAGCAUUAAUUCAGCAGCUUUGAUUGACCAGAGAACAUUGUGAGUAAAUUUAUCUACAACUAAACUUAAAUAAAAUUUUGAUACGAAGACUUUAUAA